rnacentral:lncRNA from 1 species
GUGUGCGGCCCAAGCCCACACGUGCACACCCAUCGUGGUGUAAAAUCAUGGACCGCAUGACUUUGAGUCACGGUCCAUGAUAGAACAUUGGUCCAUGCAAAUUUCUAUGGAUUGGGUGCGAUCAGAUGGCUAAGAUUCGAUCUAGAGUGUGAUCAGAUGGUGUAGAUAGCUUGCAGGCUGAUCUGGAUUUGAUGCAACUUAAUCAAGCGC